rnacentral:tRNA from 1 species
GUAAGUCUUUACAAAUAAAUGGGCUGCAGCUGACUCAUAAUCAGCGGGUCGGAGGUUCAAGUCCUUCCGGGCCCA